GUCAUGCUGGUGUGGCACAUGCACAGUGUUUGGGUGAGUUAUACAUGUGCUGUGCCCAGGCGUGUCACACACGUGCACUGUGCCCAGAGUUGGCACAAGAGCAACAGAAUUUGGGAGCCUCGCAUUCUGAUGCCACAUGUUUAGAUGAACGCUAUCUUUUCUGCAGUGCAGUUUGAAGCAGAACAGAGGGAGGACUGUAAAGCAGGAUCACGGGAGAGUUUGAUUUCCAGGCAGUGAUGAAUGGCAGGGGAGGCCAGGUCACCCGGCUGCAACAUCAAAGGGGCGACUGAACCAGCAGCACAC